UCUCAAAGAUUAAGCCAUGCAUGUCCAAGUACAAACCGCUCUAAGGUGAAMCYGCGRAWGGMUCAUUAAAUCAGUUACGGUUCCUUGGAUAUUCAAUUUACACGGAUAACUGUGGUAAUUCUAGAGCUAAUACGUGCAACAAAGCUUUGACCCUCUGGGAAAAAGCGCAUUUAUUAGACCAAGACCAACGGACCUUCGGGCCCUCGGUAUGGUGACUCUGGAUAACUGAGCUAAUCGCAUGGCCAAAGUGCCGGCGAUGUAUCCUUCAAGUGUCUGCCUUAUCAACUGUCGAUGGUAGGUUAUGCGCCUACCAUGGUUGUAACGGGUGACGGGGAAUCAGGGUUCGAUUCCGGAGAGGGAGCCUGAGAAAUGGCUACCACAUCCAAGGAAGGCAGCAGGCACGCAAAUUACCCACUCCCGGCACGGGGAGGUAGUGACGAAAAAUAACAAUACGGGACUCUAAUGAGGCCCCGUAAUUGGAAUGAGAACAAUAUAAAUCCUUUAACGAGGAUCUAUUGGAGGGCAAGUCUGGUGCCAGCAGCCGCGGUAAUUCCAGCUCCAAUAGCGUAUAUUAAAGUUGUUGCGGUUAAAAAGCUCGUAGUUUGAUCUCAGUUCAUGCUAAGUGGUCCACUUGCCGGUGGUUACUGCUCAGCUGAACAAUGGAUCGAUUCGUCUUUUGAUGCUCUUCACCGAGUGUCAUGAGCGAUCGGUACGUUUACUUUGAAAAAAUUAGAGUGCUCAAAUCAGGCUUUCUGCCAGAAUAACCUUGCAUGGAAUAAUGGAAUAGGACCUAGGUUCUAUUUUGUUGGUCUCCUGAACCUCAGGUAAUGAUUAAGAGGGACAGACGGGGGCAUUCGUAUUGCGGCGCUAGAGGUGAAAUUCUUGGACCGUCGCAAGACGAACUACAGCGAAAGCAUUUGCCAAGAAUGUUUUCAUUAAUCAAGAACGAAAGUUAGAGGUUCGAAGGCGAUCAGAUACCGCCCUAGUUCUAACCAUAAACGAUGCCAACCAGCGAUCAGCCCGAGUUUUUUGAAUGGCUCGGCUGGCAGCUUCCGGGAAACCAAAGUUUUUCGGUUCCGGGGGAAGUAUGGUUGCAAAGCUGAAACUUAAAGGAAUUGACGGAAGGGCACCACCAGGAGUGGAGCCUGCGGCUUAAUUUGACUCAACACGGGAAAACUCACCCGGCCCGGACACUGAGCGGAUUGACAGAUUGAGAGCUCUUUCUUGAUUCAGUGGGUGGUGGUGCAUGGCCGUUCUUAGUUGGUGGAGCGAUUUGUCUGGUUAAUUCCGAUAACGAACGAGACUCUAGCCUACUAAAUAGACUUCUGGUUCACUCGCAUCAGAAGGACUUCUUAGAGGGACAGGCGGCGUUUCAGCCGCACGAGACAGAGCAAUAACAGGUCUGUGAUGCCCUUAGAUGUCCGGGGCCGCACGCGCGCUACACUGAAGUGAUCAGCGUGCAAAUGUAACUCUCUCUGAAAAGAGUGGGUAACCCAUUGAACCCUCUUCGUGAUGGGGACUGGGCAUUGUAAUUAUUGCCCACGAACGAGGAAUUCCCAGUAAGCGUGAGUCAUAAGCUUGCGUUGAUUACGUCCCUGCCCUUUGUACACACCGCCCGUCGCUACUACCGAUUGAAUGAUUCAGUGAGGUCUUUGGACUGGCCGGCGCGACUGCUUAAUUGUGGUAGCGCUGUGUCGGGAAGAUGCCCAAACUUGAUCAUUUAGAGGAAGUAAAAGUCGUAA
rnacentral:rRNA from 1 species